CCUACGGGUGGCAGCAGUGGGGAAUAUUGCACAAUGGGGGAAACCCUGAUGCAGCGACGCCGCGUGAGUGAAGAAGUAUUUCGGUACGUAAAGCUCUAUCAGCAGGGAAGAAAAUGACGGUACCUGACUAAGAAGCCCCGGCUAACUACGUGCCAGCAGCCGCGGUAAUACGUAGGGGGCAAGCGUUAUCCGGAUUUACUGGGUGUAAAGGGAGCGUAGACGGCAGCGCAAGUCUGGAGUGAAAUCCCAUGGCUUAACCAUGGAACUGCUUUGGAAACUGUGCAGCUAGAGUGCAGGAGAGGUAAGCGGAAUUCCUAGUGUAGCAGUGAAAUGCGUAGAUAUUAGGAGGAACACCAGUGGCUAAGGCGGCUUACUGGACUGUAACUGACGUUGAGGCUCGAAAGCGUGGGGAGCAAACAGGAUUAGAUACCCCUGUAGUC
rnacentral:rRNA from 1 species